CAGCUCUCCGGGCUGUCACAUCGCCGACCCUUUUUGCUCUGGAUCCAAAGGGUUUGCAUGAACUGGAGCUGUUCUUGUUGCUCUUUGAAGGAAGGAGAGGAUCCCUUCCCACCGAAACUUAUGUCAUUCCAGAACUGGGAGGAAGCGCACACUGAACUGGAGUCCCCUUGCCCUUGAGAAAGUCAGACCACACCUGGAAUCACGCUGUGUCCCAUUCUGGGCACCGCAAUUGAAAGGAGACGUUGACAAGCUGGAAAGCGUCCAGAGGAGCGCAAAUAAAAUGAUCAAGGGCUGGAGAGCAAGCCCGAGGAGGAGCGGCUUAAAGAGCUGGGCAUGUUUAGCCUGCAGAAGAGAAGGCUGAGAGGAGACAUGAUAGCUUAUCCAACAUAAACGGGUCGGCAGAACGUUGGAUAAGUGAAAAUGUUGGAUAAUAACAAGGGAUUAAGGAAAAGCCUAUUAAACAUCAAAUUUGCAGACCCGUAGCCAGGAUUUUGAUUUUUUUUUGGGGGGGGGGGGGGCUGAGUUUCUUUUGUAUCAUUAUCCCAAUACUCCCAUGCAUAUGGGAUAUAUUGAGCAUGGUGAUCAGAUCAUGAUAUGAAUAAACAUAGCAGUUUAAAUAAUAAAUGUAAGGCCUUCUCACAGACCACCCUGAGGAUUUGGGGGGGGGGGGGCUGAAGCCCCUCAAGCCUCCCCCCCAAGCUACAUGCCUGCAUUAAGGUAAAGGUAAAGGUUGUCCCCUGAUAUUAAACCUAGUUGUUGGUGCUCAUUGCCAUUUCUAAGCCAAAGAGCCAGCAUUGUCCAUAGACACCUCCAAGGUCAUGUGGCCAGCAUGACUGCAUGAAGCUGGGGCUAACAGCAGGAACUUACUCCGCUCCCCAGAUUUGAACCGCCAACCUUUCUGUCAGCAAUUUCAGCAGUUCAGCGGUUUAACCCGUUGUGCCACCGGGGGCUCCAGUGGCAUAGCGUGUUAAUUACGUUAUGAUUUCACAAAUUAAGCACCAAAACAUCAUGCUUUAUAACAAGUCUGCCACUUGUUUGGGAGGGUGGCUGCACUUGUGUUGUUGGACAUGUUGGCCCGCUGUGCGUUGCUGCUCAGAGAGGCAUCUGUGGAUCUGGGUGGGAGGCAGAUUGCGUUGGAUAAUACAGAAUGUUGGAUAAGCAAAGGUUGAAUAAGUGAGACUACUGUAUAAAUAUGUGAGAGAAAGUCACAGGGAGGAGGGAGCAAGCUUGUUUUCUGCUGCCCUGGAGACAAGGACAUGGAAUAAUGGCUUCAAACUACAGGAAAGGAGAUUCCAUCUGAACAUUAGGAAGAAUUUCCUAACUGUGAAAGCUAUUCAGCAGUGGAACUCUCUGCCCUGGAGUGUGGUAGAGGCUCCUUCCUUGGAGGCUUUUAAGCACUAAUAUGUCACGACAUACAGUUUAGAAGACUCAUAUAAUGCAGUUUUAACUGCAUUGAACUGCAUUAUAUAAAUAUACAGUGACAUAUAAUGUCAUUUCAAAAUACAUUAUAAAGCAGUAUAGAUGGGACCAGGCUUAUCGAUUUAAAGAGCUGGGUUGUCAUCAGGUGAAACAGCCACCCAUUGCAAAUAAAAAGGGAAGAAAAAUUAUCCUGUGUAAGAAUGUCUUUUUCCAGCUUCCACCAAAUCUAUCAAAAACCAAACCUUGCAUCUCAAGGCACAUGUAUACUGACCAUUUAAUGCAGUUUCCAACUGGUAUUGAAGAAAGUUUCAGUAUGCAGAUGAUUACGUAGAAGAACAUCAUAGAACCAGUUGAGGCCCGGAUGGUAAUUACACAAACUAUAGAGCACUGAAGUACAUUGGGGCUUUGUGGGAGAUCUGGCCACCACAGUUUGAAGUUAGCUUUGAACGGCAUUAAAUGGUCAGCAAACAUGAGGCCUCAUUCUACCAACUGUAUUGUAAACAAUAAUCUGCAAAAUGUAGUGGUUUGAGGGUUGAACUACAUCUCUGGAGAUCAGAGCUUGAAUCCUUGCUCAGCCAUGGAAACCAAACUUUGGACAAAUGAAGUUACUCUCUCUUAGCUUCAGGGGAAGGCAAUGUCAAACCUCUUCUGAACAAAAUUUUGCCAAGGAAACCAUGUGAUAAGGUUGCUAUAGGUCGGAAAUGACUUGAAGGCACAUAAUAACAACAGUGCAAUUGCAAUUUAUUUUCAUGCCACACUUUGGAGUUCAAGGUGGUUUAUGCAGUCCCCUUCCUCACAAUAAUUGUAUCCUCAUAAUGGACAUGUCAGGUAGAUCAGGGUAAGAGUAAAUAAGUUCAAAUGGUUUACAAGGGCAUUAGUCCGGAUCUGAGAAGUUCCAGGCCUAUCACUAACCACUGGACCACACUACCUGUCAGUCUAGUAGCCCAUGAUGCCAUUAGCAUUGAAAACAUGGGGUGGGGGCAUGGGAAUUGAAUGAACUGAACUCUGCCCAAUUCAGUAUUGCACUUUAAAUAUCACAGUAUUGGUGUGUGUUGCUUCAAGUCCAAUUUAGACUUACAAACGCAUUGGGCUUUCUUAGACAAGGAAUACUGGGAGUUGGUUUUGGCAGUUCCUUGCUCUGUAAUGUAGCCUACACAGUACUAGGUAUUCAUUGUCAGUCUCCCAUCUAAGUACUAAGUAUAGUUGACCCUGCUUAGCUUCUAAGAUCAGAUGGGAUCUGAUGUCUUUGGGGUGUUUGGACAGGGCUAAAGAUUAUAGGUCUGGUAUUUACUGUUGCCACCAUGGCACAGAAACAUGGAUCUGAAGUGUGAGUCCUUGCAUGACUUUUGCAUGAUGCUCCUCCAUGUCCAAAUCACUUCACAUGUGAUGGGACCCAUAGACUAAAGUAUGAAUCCCUGCUCAGCCAUGGAAACCUUAUGGUGACCUUGGGAAGAUCAUACUCUCAGUCUCAAAGGAAAGCUUCUGAAUAUAUCUUGUCAAGAAAACCCAAUCAUAAGGUCGCCUUAAGGUCACCAUAAGUCAAAAACAAAAAAGGUAUAUCAAAGCAAUAACUCCAUAUGAUUUUUCUCCAUGGCAUGAAAACAUAGUGCUGAGACAGAAAUACUUGAAAAUAGUUGUGUAAAUUGUACCCUAAGAGUGAAACUGAAUGUUGACAAGCCACAUCUUUCAAUCUUGUGGUAUAGGGUGUUUUAUAUGAGAUUUUUUUGUGUAAUCAUCCUGUACUGUUAAAGGCGUUUUAUUUAAUCAGAGAUCCAGGUGCUGCUGGCUCCCAUUUAUAAUCCAAGGUGUUUUCUUACUACAUCUUCUUUUAUUUUCUGCCCCCAAAAUGUUUUAAGGGAAUAGAGAAUGAUGGAAUACUCUACAAUGCCUUUUGACUGGUAAUGAUAAAAGCUAUCUGUCCCAUAAUCUAUUUUUAAAUGAACAUUUUAUGUCUGUUCUAGAGGAAGACACUGACAUGGUGUAGGAAGUCUGGUCCUAAAAGUUGUAGUAGCACUAAACACUUGUCUUAAGGCAGAAUUUCUAAGAUAUUAUCUGUGGAUUAGGUUCUUCCACACACAGAUCAUCCGAAUAUAUGCAUGUUAUCCUACCAAUAUUUUAAAAACAAACCUGACCUGAAAUGGAACCAUAGCAUGAGGAUUUUCUAUCUCUCACUAAAUGUCAUCCCAAUCUAUAUCUUUAUAUAUAUUAUUAUAUUUGGUCCCCUGGUGAUGCAGCAGGUUAAACCACUGAGCUGCUCAACUUGCUGACCAGAAGGUCAGCAGUUCGAAUCCAGGGAGCAGGGUGAGCUCUCUUUGUUAGGCCUAGCUUCUGCCAACCUAGCAGUUCAAAAAUAUGCAAAAGUGAGUAGAUCAAUAGGUUCCACUUAUGCGGGAAGGUAAUGGUGCUCCAUGCAGUCAUGCUGGCCACAUGAUCUAGGAAAUGUCUACAGACAACACUGGCUCUUCGGCUUAGAAAUGGAGAUGAGCCCCACCCCCGGAGUUGGACACGACUAGACUUAAUGUCAAAGGAAACCUUUGCCUUUUAUUAUUAUUAUAUUAUAUAUGUUAUAUAUAUUAUAUAUAUAGUAAUAAAAGUAAAUGUAUGUAUGUGUGUGGCGGUGCGGCGGGCGCUGUAUAUUUCUGGCUGGGGCUCCAAUUUCCACAGAUCAUUGUGACCCCCACGAAUGACAGACCUGGACCAAAACUGGCACACAACCGCCCCCCCCCCCCCCACUUUAUGUCUUGGUGAGGUUUGGGGGAAGAUGGACCACAGAUGGUGGGAUUUGCAGAACCUUCACCCGAUUCCACAGAACACUCCAACUUCCAUCAAUGUCUGACCAGGAACAAACUUGGGACACAGACCCCACCCCCAUGACACACAUUCUGGUGAGGUUUGGGGAAGGAUGGAUGACAAGAUUUUCAGUACCUUCUCCUACUUCAACAGACCACUGUGACCCCCAUCAAUGAUGGACCUGGACCAAACUUGGCACACAGACCUCCCCUCCCCAUGACCCACUUUAUGUCUUGGUGAAGUUUGCGGGAGGAUUUACCACAGAUGAUGAGAUUUGCAGAACCUUCACCCACAUCCACAGACUACUGCUGACCCUAUCAGCCAUGGUUCUGCAGCAAUUUGUAAUGGGUCCAUUUAUACCAUCCAAAAAGGAAAAUGCCUUUUUCACAUAACCCGGGCAUUGCUAGGUACCCAAGCUAGUACAUAAAUAAAAUCCCAUGUACUUAGUUUCUUUUAGAAAAAAAAAUUGACCUCAAAACACCAACCUAGUUGGACAAUCUAUUUUGUAUAGAAACCCAUUCUUCCCAAAUAGCUCCAGAUUUAGUCUGAGAUUCUGCCUUAAAUCUACAUCUUCUCUGUGUAAAGGUGGAUACAGAUGACAUUACCAAGUACUCGGUAGUCAAAAAAGGAACUGAAGCAUCUUACCAGAAAAGGCCAGUUCAUUUCAAGUCUUUUGUUUACAAAAGAAAAAAGGGGGAUUUCAGGUCAUGAUAUUAGUAUCUGCACAACAGAAAGAGCAGAUAUAGGGAAAAUCUAUCCCUUACAUCAUAAUGUAGAUUGCUUUCUCUUUGUAAACUUGACUGGUCUGAAUUCUGGCCUAGGUUUUACACCAAGUAAAACUUGACUCAUUACCUGUGGUUUUUGGUUUCGUUCCUUAUGACUUGAUUGGUGCUCUGUUUUAUCUUCAUAAAUUAUUUCAAUUUGUAAAAUAAUUAAUAUGAUGUUAUUGUCUGUAUCCCAUCAUGAUAUCGUGGCUAUGGGCUGUGAGAAUAAUACAUUAAUAAAUAAAAAUAAAUGAAUAUGAGAGAAUUCAAAAUUACCUAUUCAAAUUAGUUGACCCUGUUCAAGAUAGUUAAAAGAUGGCACUUUUUCUCACAAUGCAAAAUUAGUUUGCUGUACAUAUUACCAAAAAUGGGGUUAUCAUCAAUUACUUAACUGAUUUUCAACAUAGAUUAGACAAAAGUCAUGGGGAACUGGAAUAACAGCCACUGUUCAGUGGAACCUCCAUGUUCCAAGGCAGUGUGCCUCAAAAUGUGAGAUGGGGAAAACAAACAAUGGCAGGAGGCUAUUCCCUUCAGUGCCCUUCUUGUGAACUUCCCAAGGAGGAAGCAUCUGGUUGGCCAUUGUGGGAAACAGGAUGUUGGCCUAGCAUUUACAUGGACCUUUGGUUUUAUCCCGCAGAGCUCUUCCAGUGUUUUAAUGUUCUUAUCUAGUGUUGUAUAUUUUUUCAAAAACUUAAAACACUUUUAUAGCUGGCUUCCCAGAUAUCUGGUUUCCUCGGCAAAACUGCACUGAAAGCAAAAUAGAGCAACUCCACAUAAGUGUUUUUCAACUUUCAGAUAUACUAUUUCUGUUAUUAUAUGAUUGUGUAGGAUUGCCAGGAGCUUCAAAUAAAAAGAAAUGAAUGAUAUCAGUAGUAUAGGACCCAUAUGCUUGUCCAGACUGGCAAUGAAUUCAGGGACUAUUCUUCCUUAAAGUAACUUUCCAAUGUGCUGAUUCUGAGCACAGAGAACAAUUUUCUGCUUCUACUCCUUACCCCUAGCUGUUGUUGCCAGAACCUUUGCACCAGAGAAGGGCAUUUGAACAAAAAUCUCUUCCAGAUUAUAAGGAAUACAAUUGCUAUAUUUUUGCAAUUUUGAGGAAUUGACAGCUGGCUGAUUUAUUUAUUAAAAUCAAACUGGGCCAGAAAAUGUUGUUUUUCUGACUGCAGUUUUAUGUAUUUAUAACGAUUGAUACAUUGCCGUUGCUUGAUUUUAUAUAUCGAUUUUUUUUCCUUUUUAUGACUACUUCCAGGUUUAGCUUGUUAAGUUUUCUUUUAAGUAUUGCUGGCUUCAUGUUUUGUCAGCCACUUUGCUUUGAAAAAGAAAAGUGGGGUGUUUAAAAUAAAAUAAACAAAAUAAAUAGUACCAAUUGAUCUUGCAAUUUGCUUAUUUUUAUAAUGUUUUAUAAAUUGUAUUUUACAGUUCUAUUCUUGUAUGUCUCUGUCCAUUCCCCAUGUGUAUGUGUCUGAAUGAAGUCCCCAAUGGUGAGGCGGAUUAAACCACUGAACUGCUGACCGAAAGGUCGGCGAUUCGAAUCCGGGAAGUAGAGUGAGGUCCUGCUGUUAGCCCCAGCUUCUGUCAACCCAGCAGUUUAAAAAUAUUCAAAUGUGAGUAUAUCAAUAGGUACUGCUCUGGUGGGAAGGUAACGGUGCUCCAUGCAGUCAUGCCGGCCACAUGGCCCUGGAGACGUCUACGGACAACGCCGGCUUUUCAGCUUAGAAACUGAGAUGAGCACCAACCCCCUUAAUGUCAGAGGAAAACCUUCACCUUUACCUUAUGUGUCUGAAUAUUUUAGAUUGUAUGCUUUUGGUACAACUAGUUGUUUUUUGCUGCUGUUUUUCUUGUUAAGUACACCGAUAACAAAUAAACAGCAUAAUAAAUAUUAUCUGUUUUAUAAUGAA